CCGCGAGCAGCGACGUCACAACUCUCCAUUUGGCUGCAUAGAGUGGAAACGCAGGCUGCGUGCGCCUGCUGCUCGACCUGCACGCUGCUAUCUCAGCUGAGGCACUCUGUCUCUCCUCCCCUGCCGUAGCCUCGAUAGGAGCUGGAAGCACUCCUUUGAAUUAUUCAGCAUCCACCGGAAACCUCAAGAGUUGUCAGGUUCUCAAGCUUGAUGUUGUCAGGUUGGCAAGCUCUCAUUUCAUCACCGCCUCAAUAUCAAGCAUGACUCCAGGCUCAAGGGCCUCAGCAAGAUGUCGGAUUUGACGAUUAAUCUGGCGGCAAUAUGCACUCCUGCUGAUUAUCACACCCGCCCACUAGACACCAUCUUUAGUAAUUUCAUUGAUGCUCUCCCAGUUUUAGGUAUUGCUCAGAAAACAACAAGUGCAUCAUUCACUUCUCAACAUGUGAAGUGUAUGGGAAAACGAUAGGAAGCUUCCUACCCAAUGAUCAUCCUCUUAGAAAGAACAAGAAAGAAAGGAAGAAGGUCCGUGAGGUUGGCAUCUUGAAAAAGGAUCCUGAGGCUAUUUGAGAGCAAAUUGAGAAUAUGGAAAGAAUGAUUUACAAAUCUCAAGUACUCCAGAGUUGAAAUUGAUGAAGUGCGGUUCGAGUGGGCUGAAUGCAUGCUAGAUUACAUUUGAGUAGGAAAGGUAUUUGAUUUUUGAAAACUUUGGAUGAUGCAUACAUUUGCAUAGAAUGUAAAUUGCGUAUAUUGUCCCAUGUCAAUUUCUUUCUGAUGGUGAUAUUCUAGGACUUCUGCA